UGAUGUGAGGACUCAUAUGAACACAUCUUCUGUUCAAGAAUUCUUGUCUUGCAUAAAACUGUAAUGUGCUUUGGAGGGGACUCCCUGCAAAUUGAUGUAGAAGGAAUCCAAAGCUAGGCUGGUUUGAGAGGGAUUUAAUUACCAGGAGUCACAAAUGGUUCGUUGCCUGAUGGAAAUGAGCGGUGUAAUUGCAAAUCUAAUCUGUUCAUGCCUGGAACUUCAGCAGCCCUAAUGUCUGUGAUGGAAAUUGCAUCAAGUUCCUUUCCAAGGUUUGAGUGCAAGUUCCCUUUCUGCAAACUGUGGAAAGACAGAGUAGAAUAUAAUUUUAGAGAUUCUGAAAAGGAAAUGCUGAAUGUUUUGCCCACUGCUACACAGAUCCAGCACAGCUCUGAAAGAAACACAGCUAUGAGAAGUUCUUGCACUUAA
rnacentral:lncRNA from 1 species